rnacentral:rRNA from 1 species
UAGGGAAUCUUCCGCAAUGGACGAAAGUCUGACGGGGCAACGCCGCGUGAGUGAAGAAGGAGUUCGGUUCGUAAAACUCUGUUGUUAGGGAAGAAAAAAUGUAUAGUAACUAUAAACAAAAGAGACGGUACCUAACCAGAAAGCCACGGCUAACUACGUGCCAGCAGCCGCGGUAAUACGUAGGUGGCAAGCGUUGUCCGGAAUUAUUGGGCGUAAAGCGCGCGCAGGUGGUUUAGCAAGUCUGAUGUGAAAGCCCACGGCUCAACCGUGGAGGGUCAUUGGAAACUAAUAAACAUGAGUGCAGGAGAGAAAGGUGGAAUUCCUAGUGUGGCGGUGAAAUGCAUAGAGAUUAGGAGGAACGCCGGUGGCGAAAGCGGCUUUUUGGCCUGCCACUGACACUGAGGCGCGAAAGCGUGGGGGGCGAACAGG